AUGGAGUCCUCUUGUCCCUUCCCACCUCCUCUGAGCAGAGGCAGUGGUGCUAUUGUGGAAUCUUCUCUGCUUCAUCCUUUGCUGCUCAUCAAGGAUGUGAAAGAGCAGCUAAACACGCACAUCAGAAAAAAGAGACUCCAGCUCCUGUGGGGCUUGCCAUAUAUAAUCCUGAACUCCCUGGCAGCAUCCAUCCCAUCCAUCCCAGAGUUCCUGGAAUGCACAGCGCUGCUGGAGUCUAAAGACUACCAGCGGCCACUCUUCAGGGCAGAAAGGCGUAAGCACCUUGAGCGACACCUGAGAGAGAAAAUGGUGCAUUGCAAAUGGGGCCUUCCCAAGAGAAUCCAGAAGUCUUUGAAAUGGUUUAUUCCUCCUGAGGCAGCCAAACAGGAGCCCAUGCUUGAUGAGAAGGUUUCUAUAUCUACCUCUACACAUACAGGACUUUGUGAAGCUUCAUGUGGGAGCUCAGAGGCCUGUACUUGCAGGAUCUGUCUGACAGCACAGAGAUCUGAAGGCAGUGGACAAACCACAGUGACACUAGGCACUACAUCUGAGACCACUCUAGCUGGAAGCAUGAGAAAUCUUCAGAGAUGUCAGACCCGAACAUGUCCACAGAAUAAAACAGGAGAGGAGUCUCUGCUGCUGGAAUGGUCUAUGAAUUUCAACCCAGAUACAACUGAGCUGCCAGUGAUUGGGGAGAAGAAAAAGCACCUGGUGUUCCAGGGAGGGAAGGAGAAUUGUGACCUUUCAGAAGACACUGAGGGCUCCAGGGACACAUUUUUGCUGGGUACAAGUCCACCAAGCACACAACCAGCUCUCCUCAAUGGGGCUCAGAGUGAAAUUGGAACUAGCUUCAUGAACACACGGUUCAGAAAUAACAAAGGACAAUGUAACCAGAACCUGGAGCUCGGGACGAAGCUUGAGAUGAAAUGGGGUGUCUCCUACAUGUUCCAGGAAUCCUUUCCUGCCAUGAGACCUCCCCCUGCCCAACUCACUUACUGGGAGAGAAAGCCCAGCUCAGGAGCAGAAAAAAGCCCUGUAAGCAGGAUCAGUGGGUCUCAAAAAUUACCCCAUAGGUGCCAAUGGGGAUUUUCCCAGGGACUCUUAAGGGCCAUCAAUCCUCCAGAACAGUCACAAUCACAGCUGCUUUCACAGGGCAGAGAGGAGGAUCCAAAAUCUAACUUUGUCCAGGAAGGACAGAAAUUUCUUGGAAUAGCUGGCUCUUGUAGGUCAGUAAUUAUGCACAGAACUGAGCAUGAUGCAGCUGAGCCCUCUAGGGCCCUGUUACUGCCAGGGCAGUUAGCCUCACUGGAAGGUGAGAAUCAAGAGACUAGGCCAAUGGUGGCUCUUACAGAGCUCUCUCUGGAAUCCCAGUUCCAACCCAGCCCAGCUGGAGUUCCCUGGGCUCUCAAUGGAGACAUGCUGAGGAAUAAAAAUCUUCAGAUUAAAUUGGGUUUGCAGAGUCCCUCCCAAGUGCCGAUGACCCUCAGCACCAACCCUGCAGCCUCCCUGCAUAUCCCAGGAGCUGAGGGUGAAGAAAAUCUUGUUACAGAUGACACAAAAAAAUACUUUGAAUUCCAUCUGAGAGAAAAAUUGCUGCAUCAGAAAUGGGGACUCCCUAAGAGACUGCAGGAAUCCAUGACCCUGUUUCUACUGCUAGAAGCAACAAUAAAUGAAUAA
rnacentral:lncRNA from 1 species